rnacentral:rRNA from 1 species
CUCAUACGGGAGGCAGCAGUGGGGAAUAUUGCACAAUGGGCGCAAGCCUGAUGCAGCCAUGCCGCGUGUAUGAAGAAGGCCUUCGGGUUGUAAAGUACUUUCAGCAGUGAGGAAGGUGGGUAUGUUAAUAGCAUAUUCAUUUGACGUUAGCUGCAGAAGAAGCACCGGCUAACUCCGUGCCAGCAGCCGCGGUAAUACGGAGGGUGCGAGCGUUAAUCGGAAUUACUGGGCGUAAAGCGCAUGCAGGUGGUUUGUUAAGUCAGAUGUGAAAGCCCGGGGCUCAACCUCGGAAUUGCAUUUGAAACUGGCAAACUAGAGUACUGUAGAGGGGGUAGAAUUUCAGGUGUAGCGGUGAAAUGCGUAGAGAUCUGAAGGAAUACCGGUGGCGAAGGCGGCCCCCUGGACAGAUACUGACACUCAGAUGCGAAAGCGUGGGGAGCAAACAGGAUUAGAUACCCUGGUAG